UACGGGGGGGGCAAGCGUUGUUCGGAAUUACUGGGCGUAAAGGGCUCGUAGGCGGCCAACUAAGUCAGACGUGAAAUCCCUCGGCUUAACCGGGGAACUGCGUCUGAUACUGGAUGGCUUGAGUUUGGGAGAGGGAUGCGGAAUUCCAGGUGUAGCGGUGAAAUGCGUAGAUAUCUGGAGGAACACCGGUGGCGAAGACGGCAUCCUGGACCAACACUGACGCUGAGGAGCGAAAGCCAGGGGAGCAAACGGG
rnacentral:rRNA from 1 species